CCUACGGGGGGCAGCAGUGAGGAAUAUUGGUCAAUGGCCGGAAGGCUGAACCAGCCAUGCCGCGUGAAGGUCAGUGCCCUAUGGGCGUUAAACUUCUUUUGUGCGGGAGCAAUAAUGGUCACGUGUGGCCAGACGAGAGUACCGUACGAAUAAGCAUCGGCUAACUCCGUGCCAGCAGCCGCGGUAAUACAGGGGCUGCAAGCGUUAUCCGGAUUUAUGGGGGUAAAGGGGUGCGCAGGGGGAAGCUCAAGUCAGCGGUAAAAUUGAGAGGCUCAACCUCUUCGAGCCGUUGAAACUGGUUAACUUGAGUGAGCGAGAAGUAUGCGGAAUGCGUGGUGUAGCGGUGAAAUGCAUAGAUAUCACGCAGAACACCGAUUGCGAAGGCAGCAUACCGGCGCUCAACUGACGCUGAUGAACGAAAGUGUGGGUAUCGAACAGGAUUAGAUACCCGUGUAGUC
rnacentral:rRNA from 1 species